rnacentral:rRNA from 1 species
GACGAACGCUGGCGGCGUGCUUAACACAUGCAAGUCGAACGGAAAGGCCCUGCUUUUGUGGGGUGCUCGAGUGGCGAACGGGUGAGUAACACGUGAGUAACCUGCCCUUGACUUUGGGAUAACUUCAGGAAACUGGGGCUAAUACCGGAUAGGAGCUCCUGCUGCAUGGGGGGGGUUGGAAAGUUUCGGCGGUUGGGGAUGGACUCGCGGCUUAUCAGCUUGUUGGUGGGGUAGUGGCUUACCAAGGCUUUGACGGGUAGCCGGCCUGAGAGGGUGACCGGCCACAUUGGGACUGAGAUACGGCCCAGAGUCCUACGGGAGGCAGCAGUGGGGAAUAUUGCACAAUGGGCGGAAGCCUGAUGCAGCAACGCCGCGUGCGGGAUGACGGCCUUCGGGUUGUAAACCGCUUUCGCCUGUGACGAAGCGUGAGUGACGGUAAUGGGUAAAGAAGCACCGGCUAACUACGUG